rnacentral:rRNA from 1 species
GACGAACGCUGGCGGCGUGCUUAACACAUGCAAGUCGAGCGGGGAUACAAGGGAGCUUGCUCCUGAGUAUUCUAGCGGCGGACGGGUGAGUAACGCGUGAGCAACCCUUUUCUCUCAGUGGGGAAUAACACAGGGAAACUUGUACUAAUACCGCAUAAGCGCACAGUACCGCAUGGUACAGUGUGAAAAACUCCGGUGGCAUACGAUGGACCCGCGUCUGAUUAGCUAGUUGGUGAGGUAACGGCCCACCAAGGCGACGAUCAGUAGCCGGCCUGAGAGGGUGAACGGCCACAUUGGGACUGAGACACGGCCCAAACUCCUACGGGAGGCAGCAGUGGGGAAUAUUGCACAAUGGGGGAAACCCUGAUGCAGCGACGCCGCGUGAGUGAAGAAGUAUUUCGGUAUGUAAAGCUCUAUCAGCAGGGAAGAAAAUGACGGUACCUGACUAAGAAGCCCCGGCUAACUACGUG